CCCCGCCAACCCAGUGUUCAGACUACCUGUUCAGGGGGCUCUGAAUGUGUACAGUAGUCUGCACAUUGGUUAGGCUGGGC
ensembl:miRNA